CAGGAUGAACGCUGGCGGCGUGCCUAACACAUGCAAGUCGAACGAAGCACUUCUGGUUUGAGAUUCGUCAAGAACCGGAUUUGACUUAGUGGCGGACGGGUGAGUAAUGUAUGAGCAACCUGCCUUUCAGAGGGGGACAACAGUUGGAAACGACUGCUAAUACCGCAUAAAGUAUUUUUAAGGGCAUCCUUGAAAUACCAAAGGAGCAAUCUGCUGAAAGAUGGGCUCAUAUCUGAUUAGUUAGUUGGCAGGGUAACGGCCUACCAAGACUGCGAUCAGUAGCCGGACUGAGAGGUUGAACGGCCACAUUGGGACUGAGAUACGGCCCAGACUCCUACGGGAGGCAGCAGUGGGGAAUAUUGGGCAAUGGGCGAAAGCCUGACCCAAGCAACGCCGCGUGAAGGAAGAAGGUCUUCGGAUUGUAAACUUCUUUUAUGAGGGACGAAGGACGUGACGGUACCACAUGAAUAAGCCACGGCUAACUACGUGCCAGCAGCUGC
rnacentral:rRNA from 1 species